rnacentral:lncRNA from 1 species
ACAAGACCUGCUUAACAGAUUUUUAAUAGUAAAUGUUUGGUUACAUCCAACUUCAUACUGUUACAUUGUGACAUACAUGUGCUUCUUUGUAGUCUUUUAAACAAUCAAUAAUUAAAAUCUAAGUACAUCUUGUCAAGUACAGUAACUGGCUUAAUCCUACUACAAUACAGUAGCAAAUUACUGAGAAGAUUAAUAUUUUCUUACUGCAAUGUAAACAAAUGUUGUACAUGGACGGAUCAGUAUACAUUAGUAAUGUAAUUAUUAGUACAUAACAUCAGUAAUGCAUAUUAAGACACUUCUAUCAACAAUGCGUUUAGCAUCAAUACACAAAUGAUUGAAAGUUUAAAUCCAUUCCAUAUUGCUUGGACCAAUUAAGUCCAAUUAAGAAAACACUGAUUUAUACAGGAGUAUAGGGAAUUUUCUUCCCCUCCAAAAUAAUAUCUUUAUCUAAAAUUACUGCAUCAAUACAAAUAUAAACACAGUGCAAACAUAAAUUAUUCUUAAAUGUACUGUAGAGGGUACAAUCAAUGUUAGGUUAAUAUUUCAUCUACAGAUGCAUUUAUGUGAAUCAUCCUGGCACAAACAAAUAUAUAGCUGGUCUAUCACUUUUAUUUUAAAAACUUAAUUUUCAUUUCACUUCAAUCUUUUAAAGCAGGACGGACAGUUACGAGAUAGAAUCUUUAUGAAAAGCACGUAAAGGCUGUUUAGGAAUUUUGUUCACAAGACAAAAACAGAGAAUACUUUGUGUCAUGUAAGUGGCGAUUUUUGGCAACACAUGGCAGAGGAGAGCGAUGGCUGAUGGAAAUCGGAACCUCUGAUAUGACAUAGACCGCAAUGUCAUCUCAUGCAAUGCGGUUGCACAAAAUCCUCUUUAGGGAUCCUUCUGCGUCACUGGUCUUCCCUAAACUCAUUUUGUACUUACAUACAUGAGCAAAAGUGCAUCAGAGCAAAGGACUCUUAAGACAGGCGAUAAAGAGGAACGUGGCAGGGGCAAGAAGUUUCAAUUUUUUCAUCAUCCUGCUAAAAUAUUUUUACAUGGUGCUGGCAUGGCAGCAAGAUUCAACUUUUUUUACUCCAUUUGAAAAAGCCAUACUGGUGAAAACGCGUUAAUGGAUGUUACUACUUAGUAUAUUAAAGGACCACUCUAGGCACCCAGACCACUCCAGCUUAAUGCCAGGUGCCAGGUCCAGCUAGGGUUAACCCUUUUUAAAAUAAACAUAGCAGUUUCAUCCAGCCUCCAAAUCCUCUAGUGGCUGUCUCAUUGACAGCCGCUGGAGGCGCUUGCGUGAUUCUCACUGUGAAAAUCACAGUGAGAAGACACCAGCGUCCAUAGGAAAGCAUUAUGAAUGCUUUCCUAUGAGACCGGCUGAAUGCGCGCGCAGCUCUUGCUGCGCAUGCGCAUUCAGCCGAAAGGGAGGAGAGGAGGCGGAGAGCUCCCCGCCCGGUGCUCGAAAAAAGGUAAGUUUUAACCCCUUCCUCUCCUCAGAGCCAGGCGGGAGGGGGACCCUGAAGGUGGGGGCACUAUAGUGGUCCUUUAACUAUUAAAGGAUUUUGAUCACUACACUUGUGUGCUGUGCCAAUUACCUUUUUUAUUUAGUUUUAAUACAGUUUUCAUACUUCCUGGCAUCUUUUAUCUCUACUCCAAAGCAAUCCUAGGUGGGGAUCAAACCACCAACACUGUCACCAUAGAGCAGUUAGUCUUCUCGAUAUUUGUGAGUAUAUUUUAACUAUUUUUAUCAUGUACAUCACUUAUUUUAUUGAGAGCACUGUCACCUCUUCUAUUUCUCCCCCGGUUCCUGUCAUCGUAAACCAGACGGACACCUCCAAUAUAUCCUAUAAGUUGGUAUUAUACCACUGCACGUUACAUACGCUAGAGCCGGCUUAGGCUCUAUAAAAUGUGAGUGUGAUACUGUAAUUUUUUAAUUACAUAGAUUUGACGUUUUACACUAUUUCCGCCCUUUCUGCUUUUCACUUUCUAUAUACAUCAACAAGAAAAUUUAUUGGUGAGGACUAUCACAUUGACUUAUUUCUUGCUUGUUCCAAAAAUCUAUUAAUUUUUUUUUUUUUUUUAUAUUUUCUACUGGCACAGCCCUUUUUUAUCUUUUUAUUUCUGAGGAAAAUAAUUAUUAUAUUACCAAAGGCACAAUCUAACUAGUUAAAGGACCACUAUAGUGCCAGGAAAAUAUACUCUUUCCUGGCACUAUAGUGCCCUGAGGGUGCCCCCACCCUCAGGGUCCCCCUCCUGCCGGGCUCUGGGGAGAGGAAAGGGGUUAAACUUA